CAGUAGCCGCGGUAAUGCAGAGGAUGCAAGCGUUAUCCGGAUUUAUUGGGCGUAAAGCGAGCGCAGGCGGUUAGAUAAGUCUGAAGUUAAAGGCUGUGGCUUAACCAUAGUACGCUUUGGAAACUGUUUAACUUGAGUGCAAGAGGGGAGAGUGGAAUUCCAUGUGUAGCGGUGAAAUGCGUAGAUAUAUGGAGGAACACCGGUGGCAAAAGCGGCUCUCUGGCUUGUAACUGACGCUGAGGCUCGAAAGCGUGGGGAGCAAACAGGAUUAGAUACCCCCGUAGUCCCUGUCUCUUAUACC
rnacentral:rRNA from 1 species